AGCAGCCGCGGUAAUUCCAGCUCCAAUAGCGUAUAUUAAAGUUGUUGCAGUUAAAAAGCUCGUAGUUGAAUUUCGGGAUCAAUACGUCGGUCGUGCUUCGGUACGUACUGGCGUCAUUGAUUUCUCCCUUCUGACGAACCAUGAUGUCAUUAACUUGGUGUCAUGGGAAAUCAGGACUGUUACUUUGGAAAAAUUAGAGUGUUUAAAGCAGGCUCACGCUUGAAUACAUUAGCAUGGAAUAAUGAAAUAGGACGUUCGAACCUAUUUUGUUGGUUUCUAGGAUCAACGUAAUGAUUAAUAGGGAUAGUUGGGGGCAUUAGUAUUCAAUUGUCAGAGGUGAAAUUCUUGGAUUUAUUGAAGACUAACUACUGCGAAAGCAUUUGCCAAGGAUGUUUUCAUUAAUCAAGAACGAAAGUUAGGGGAUCGAAGACGAUCAGAUACCGUCGUAGUCUUAACCAUAAACUAUGCCGACUAGGGAUCGGA
rnacentral:rRNA from 1 species